rnacentral:rRNA from 1 species
GUCCACGCCGUAAACGAUGGAUGCUAGCUGAUGGGACUUCUACCGUCUCAUUGGUGUCGCUAACGCAUUAAGCAUCCCGCCUGGGAAGUACGGCCGCAAGGCUAAAACUCAAAGGAAUUGACGGGGCCCGCACAAGCGGUGGAGCAUGUGGUUUAAUUCGAAGCAACGCGCAGAACCUUACCCAGACUUGACAUCUCUAGAACCUUUGGGAAACCAGAGGGUGCCCUCUCACGAGGGAGCUAGAAGACAGGUGCUGCAUGGCUGUCGU